rnacentral:rRNA from 1 species
UACGUAGGGGGCAAGCGUUGUCCGGAUUUAUUGGGCGUAAAGAGCGUGUAGGCGGCUGGGUAGGUCUGCUGUGAAAACUCGAGGCUCAACCUCGAGACGUCGGCGGAAACCCUCCAGCUAGAGUCCGGAAGAGGAGAGUGGAAUUCCUGGUGUAGCGGUGAAAUGCGCAGAUAUCAGGAAGAACACCGAUGGCGAAGGCAGGUCUCUGGGCCACUACUGACGCUGAGAAGCGAAAGCAUGGGGAGCGAACAGG